UUCCAUUACUGAUGCCUCGUCUACAAGUCUAGAACAUGAGUGUAGACGACUUAUGUGCUGCAACUGGCAUGCUGGAAGUUAUUAUCCAACACAUAUGUUGUCUACACUCAUGUUCUAGACUUGUAGACAAAUAGCAGCUGUUACU
rnacentral:pre_miRNA from 1 species